GCAAUGUUUGAGCAAGUAAAUUUAACAUUCCAGAAAGGCAUUGCUGACCACUCGGCUGCUGCGCAACAGCAAUUCGAGUCCGUGCAUUCCCCGUUGGCACUUGCUCUAAGAGAUGCCAUAAAUUCAGCAUGGUCAAUGACUCAGACAUUGAGCGGAGAGCUGGCUGAUAGUCAGAGAAAGUUGCUUGCUCUCGCAGUUUCUGGAGCAAAUCCCCAGUCAGCAAAUCCGCUGGUUAGCCCUCUUGCUAAUCUUUGUUAGACUGUCGUUUCUCUGCCUCUAGUUUAUCUAUACUACAUCAAGUAUAUUAUGCCUUGGUUGGUUUCAACCAAGGGUAUAAUCCUUCCACUUCUUGUGUUGACUUAUUCUUUAUCCCUUAGGGGUCGUUUGGUAGAAGGUAUUAGAAAAAAUAAUGCAAGCAUUAGCUCUGUGCAUUACUAAUACCUUGUUUGGUACAUUUUUUCAAACUGUAUAUAACUAAUACAUGUAUUAGUUAUACAUCAUUCUUUGUAUUAUGCUAUGUAUAAGCAAUGCCUAGAAAACCAUAACAUUAGUAAUGCAAGUGUAUAAUACUUGCAUAAACAUGGUCAAAGACCUAAUUGCCCCCCUCAAACCCAUCUCAAAUACAUUCCCCCAUAUUAUUAGCAAACAACUUUCUCUCUCUCUGUACCGUUUUGGCCAUGGAAAAGCACAGCAGCCAAAUCUUCUUCUUCAUUUUCCUCUUCAGAGAUAAAAGUGUAAAAGGAUUUUCAAUGAUUUUGUUUUUCCCCCCUUUUGAACGACUCAUGGAGUGAAGGCACUAACUACUGGUUUCUUUGUUUGUUGGUGGUGUUUUUCUAUAUUCAAGAACUAAUAUUUGAGGUAUUUUGUAAAAUUAGUUCUUAGUUUUGGUAAUUUCAUUCCCGGUGCUUCCUUUUGUUCUUGGUGGAGGGUACUUUUGUAAACAUCCAAUUUUUAAAAAAUUAUGCAAUGCUUUAAUACACCAAACCAAACAGUGUAUAAAAAAUAAUCUCAGGUUAACUAGUGCUAGCAUAACUAAUGCCAGCAUUACUUAUACCAGCAUUACUAAUACACUCUAUUUAGCACUGUUCUUAUACCUCCUACCAAACGGCCCCUUACUGUGUUUUGAAUUCAGCAAGAUACUUUUCUUCGUUUGAUCUCUUUCAUACCAUCUUUCGGUUUAGUUUGAUAUGGUGGGUUCAGGGAUGCAUGUCUUUGGUUGUUUAAAUCCUGUUGUGCUCUACAAUGAUAUUCUCAGCCCAAGGUUUUCAUGUUUUUGCUCAAUUUUAUCUUUGAUUAACAACUUAUUGAAUGAUGAUUAACAAAUUAUGCAAUGCUUUAAUACACCAAACCAAACAGCGUAUAAAAAAUAAUCUCAGCAUAAUUAGUGCUAGCAUAACUUAUACCAGCAUUACUAAUACACUCUAUUGAAUGAUGACUCACUGCUUACUAACUAUACACUGAUCUCCAGAAAUGAUUGCCUUUCUUUCCACCACACAGUCCGAAAGUGGUUAAAGAAAGUUCCAAUACAAAUUAAUAUAUAACAUAAAAAAAAUAAGCCAUGCUCUCUUUUUACCAUCCUCAUUUCUCAAUACAAUAUUGGAAACAUCCUCUCUGCCCUUUCGGGUAGGGGUAAGGCUUGUCUACAUAUUACCCUCCCCNNNNNNNNNNNNNNNNNNNNNNNNNNNNNNNNNNNNNNNNNNNNNNNNNNNNNNNNNNNNNNNNNNNNNNNNNNNNNNNNNNNNNNNNNNNNNNNNNNNNNNNNNNNNNNNNNNCGUAGUUGUUGUUGUUGUAGGGGUAAGGCUUGUCUACAUAUUACCCUCCCCAGACCCCACCUGGUGGGAGUAUACUGCGUAGUUGUUGUUGUUGUAUUUCUCAAUAAAACAUUUUCACUAUCAUAUUCUCCAAAAAGGCAAAAACACAGGAUUUAAUAUGAUACACUGCAUGUUACUCUAUCCUCUUCUCAAUACAGCGUUUCCAAUAUUAUAUUCUCCAAAAGCACGUCAUUAAACUUAAUACACCACAUGUUCCGCUCCACAAACAAGACGAAUCACUUUUUUCAAUUGCCUUAAUAGACGUGCAGACUGCAGAGUUAAAUUAAAAUAGUUAAAAUGGAAAGUAGGAAGUGGUUCUAUCUUUGUUUAUGUUCUUCUUUCCUCUCAACCUGCUUUGUAACCUGGUGGAUGUGUUGAUAUAAAAGAUAAAAAAUGAAAAAUAAUAAUGAAGUCCGGAAAAUAGUGAGCUCUUAUCCUCUUUCGAAUGAGACACUCAUUGGAUUCGAUUUUCAGGAUGCCAUUAAUUCAGCAUCGUCAAUGACUCAGACAUUGAGCGGAGAGCUGGCUGAUAGUCAGAGAAAGUUGCUUGCUCUCGCAGUUUCUGGAGCAAAUCCCCAGUCAGCAAAUCCGC
rnacentral:lncRNA from 1 species